rnacentral:lncRNA from 1 species
CUUAUUUAACAAUCUUGACCAAGCCAUCGAUCUUUUAUGUUGUUUGAUCAAUAUUGGAACACACAUACAUAGCGCAAUGGAUUCCUGGUUACCAACCAGACUACGAGUAUUCUCAACUGGUAAGGAUUAUUAUUGCCGAAACGUUCGUAUAUUUUUAUGAGCAGAAAAGAAAAAAGGAAGUUAGAUUGGUUGCUAUUGCAGCAGUAUGGGAUUGUAGACUCUCACAGCUUGACUGUUUGUCCGUCAGUCCGUUCGUCUGCCCGUCUGUCAGUUUGUUUGUCUGUCUGUUUGUCUAUCAGUUUGUCUUCUGUCGGUCUGACUGUCCCUAUCUAUCUAUCUAUCUAUCUAUCUAUCUAUCUAUCUAUCUAUCUAUCUAUCUAAAUAUCUGUGUCCGUGUGCACGUGUACACAUACACUUACACACACAUACACACACAUAUACACAUUUAUAUAUACAUUUGUUUCACACAUACACACACACACAUACACAUUUAUAUAUACAUUUGUUUCACACACACAGACACACACACAGACACACACACACACACACACACACACACACACACACACACACACACACACACACACACACACGCACGCACACACACACACACACACACACUAAUACAGGCAGGUAUAUAUAUAAACAUGUCGAACAGGCAAAUAGCUAGCUAGCUAUCCACUCGUUGCAUUGUCUAUUUGUACGUGCGUCUGUUGAUUUAUGUACGCAAAAGGGAUGGCUGCCUGUUCCAUUAUGACCUGACAUUAUUGAUUGCAGUACGUUUCCUCAGAGUAAAACGAUAUGAAAACGAAUAAUUUCCAGAAUUAUCCCACACGUAACAUCGGUAGAAAUGUACUUUUAUUACACAGUUCCGCAAAACGCAACAUUAUGAUAUUAAUUUCUGGCCAAAGUAUUGAACGAAGUCGUGUGUGCGUGUGGUCCGACAUUGCUCGUCUGGUAUCAGAUUUUAGCAGCCGAUCGACUAUAUUAGAUUGUAAGCCAUAGUUACAGCUUUUUGUUCGUAGAUGUGAGCUAAAAAUUUCAGUGAUAAGUUUGCUUCCGCGCCAUAUGGCUCCAAGUUCGGUCCCAAGUUCAGUGUCUUCUGCUAUAGCCCCGGGCUGACCGAAAUCUUGAGAAUGGAUUUGGUAGCUGCCGUGCAUAUAUCUUAAUAAGCGCAGGCGUGACCGUGCGGUAAGACGUUUGCUUCUCAACCACAUCGUUCCAGGUUUAGCUACACGGCGCGAUACCUUGGGCAAGUAUCUUCUACUAUAGCUUCUGACCGACCAAAGCCUUAUGAGUGGUAUUGGCAGAAGGAAACUGAAUGAAGCCCGUUUGCAUAUAUAUAUAUAUAUAUAUAUAUAUAUAUGUUCUUUUAUGUUCUUUUACUUGUUUCAGUCAUUUGACUGCGGCCAUGCUGGAGCACCGCCUUUAGUCGAGCAAAUCGACCCCAGAACUUUUUCUUUGUAAGCCUAGUACUUAUCUCAUCAGUCUCUUUUGCCGAACCGCUAAGUUACGGGGACAUAAACACACCAGCACCGGUUGUCAAGCGAUGUUGGGAGGACAAACACAGACACACAAACAUACACACACACAUAGAUAUACAUAAAUAUAUACAUAUACACGACGGGCUUCUUCCAGUUUUCGUCUACCAAAUCCCCUCACAAGGCUUUGGUCGGCCCGAGGCUAUAGUAGAAGACACUUGCCCAAGGUGCCACGCAGUGGGGCUGAAUCCCAAGCUACUUACCACACAGCCACUCAUACGCCUAUAUAUAUAUACAUAAUUGUUAGAAAUAAGAGCUAAAAUGUUCUAGUGCUGUAGUCAAAGUGCAUAAUUGUUAUACAAAUACAGACAAGGUCUGUCUGUAUAUAUUUAUACAAUUAUGUGCUUUAACAACAACAUUAGACCAUUUUAGAUCAUUCUAGAUCUUAUUUCUAAGCAAUCUAGGUGUUUCUAACACCUUAGCCACAUUUAGUGACAGCUAUAGUUUUCCUUUUUGGUAAUACAUUGCAAACUGCUGUCUAUUUUACUUCUAAAGCUCUUAGCUUAGUUUUUUCUUAGGGCUGGCCAGAUUGGAGCGAUCUCAAGAUUAAUCAGCCGAAAUUGCGAGGAUGAUUCGGUUCUUGACUGAAGAUUAAAGGCAUCGAAUGACCCGUCCGUGUUUUUUGCAUCGUCUAUCUGGAUGUUUUGCGUUCUUGUCCCAUUUUGGAUGUUUUGCGUUCUUGUCCCAUUUUUUAUUUUUAUAUAUAUAUGUUAUAUAUAUAUAUAUAUAUAUAUAUAUAUAUAUAUAUAUAUAUAUAAAUCAGUAAAUGGUGGGAUUGUGUUGACCACACGUGGAGAAAUGAUAGGCAAGGAAAAAUUAUACAAAGGCAGAAUGCUAAAUUGAAGGUAAAUUUUAAUGAAAAUGGGUGUAUGGAAAAUGUUUAAAAAUUAAAAAUAUAUAUAUAUAAAUUCAAACCGAUAUAUAUAUAUAUAUAUAUAUAUAUAUAUAUAUAUAUAUAUAUAUAUAUAGGGUGGGUAGAAAGAAACUAGGCAUUAGAAAUAGCUCAUAGAAUUUUUAGUAUCAGUAAAGUCAUGACGAAAGUAUUUUUUAAAUAGACAACACUUGAUGUGGAUUUCUUAUUUUCUUAUUUCUUACUUUCCAGAUGGUCGGUCGUUUGACUGUUCAGGAGCGAGCUAAGAAAACAGCACGCUAUGAAGUGUGGAAUUCCAUUGCUUUGGUUCAGAGAUGAUGGCAUGCAUGGAAAGGUAUCGAUGCAACACUGCGUCUGGAGAGAAUUAAAAAGUUGUCAUGCAAAGCUGAUGACCACGGCUCUGUGAACGAUGGAAGAAGUGGCCGUCUAACCAAAUCCCGAUCUGCCGAGAACACGGCAACAGUGCAGGAAAUGUUUAAUAGCAGCCUGCAAAAAAUUAACACGCCAGGCAGCUCGUGAAAGUGGACUAACAAGACACACAAUACGAAUGGUGUGGCAAAAAGAAUUAAAAUUUCGUCCGUGGAAACCUCAUUACGUGCAGGAACUAAAACCCUGAAGACUGUG